UGGGUUAUAUAUAUAUAUAUAUAUAUGAUAUUAAAAAAUCAUUUACACUUAGAAAUUAUGAAUUCAUCUGCUAGGAAAUUCUACACCAUUUUUAUGUUCUUCUGUCUUGUCAUCAUUCUCCUUAUUUCUACAUCCGAGUCAAUGGGAACAUUUCCACAUCGUUGUAUAAAGAAAAGUACAACAUGGGAAGAAAAGCAUUGUAUUUUUGAUAUCGCAACCGAUAACUGGAAAUGUAAUUCAACAUGUGUCAAUCUGGAGCAUGCAGUGUCUGGUAUUUGUCAAUCUGAUCAACAUCCCCUAAAUUUUCCUACGAAUUGUUACUGCAGCUUCAAAUGCAACGAAUAUAUGCCGCGAGAUUGAAGUAGAACUCUGUAAAGAGCAAAGUAAAAUGCGGACAGGAUCAUGUGCAUCAACUCUGCAAAAUCAAAUAGGAGUUAAACAAAGCUUUACACUUCAAUAAAUGUAAUACUUGAUUUAAAAAUUCAAUUCUUGUAGUGAUUAAAUUAUUAAAACAUUAUUUGUCAAAAAAAAUUAUUAAAACAUUAUUAACCCUUACAAA